GUGCUUGCUUUGGCAACAUAUAUACUAAAACUCAAGCGAAACAGAGGAGAUUAGCAGGGCCCCUGCACAAGGAUGACACAAAUUCGUGAAGCGUUCCAUAUUUUU
rnacentral:snRNA from 1 species